UCGUCGAUUUUCCCGGCACAGGAAGCGCAGAAGGUAGCGAAGCGAGUGUAGGAGACGCUUUCAGAGAAGCAUAGUUGAAAUGAACCAAUUGAUAGAACUGAUUGCCGAUAUACCGCCCUUAUCAACCUCGUUCAAAAACUCCCCGACGAACUUCACCACGAUACAAUGGUUCCGUUUGUGAAAUCGGCGGUUUUUCCUGGUCGUUUGGUUCACACGAAUGAGUUUCUGGUUCUACUGGGAGAAAGCUACUAUGUAGAAAGAACAGCUAAACAAACUAGUGAAAUUCUAAAGAGAAGGGGAAAGUCAUCGGAACCUGAAGUGGAUUGAGUCUUCUGAAGCAGCAUUAAGUUUCCCAAUCGCCUUAUUUGUUGUUUGUUAAUUCGUUGAAUAAGCAUUACUCUGAUUUCUUUUGUACCUAGUAUUUACUGAUUACUUUCAUUUUAUUGUUACAGGAAGGCCUUGUGGAGCUCAGAGAAGAGGAUGAAGAGGAAAAUACCACCGAACCGGUGUCUCAAUUAGGCAGAGGUUCCUUCUCCUUUUCUUUUUCACAUUACUUGCAUCAUAUUGAAACUUUGGAGUCUGUUUAAUUUAGCGAAGAUGAUAUGCCAGCUGCUUGAUUCUAAGUUGAUACUUCAUACUAACCUAAUUGCAGCGCCAGUUGCUUGCGCAACAUGUUGCAUUACUUGUUCCUAUACUGUUAGAUUUUUUAUUGCCAAGGUGUUCCGUAUCAUGCAGCCUACUUAUCUGAUGAAUGUUAGUUUUCUUUUCCUAAUUGAUUAGGAUUAAUUAAAAAGGUUAUUGAUUACUUUUCUGAAGUUGAGGAUUGAAAUUAAUUUAUUUUUUUCCCUUUUCACGUCAUUUGGAGCAAGGAUGUCCUACUUUUGCUGAAGAAAACAAAUUAAUGGGUGCACCUGAGGAUGAUGAAUAUGCUCGUAUAAUGUCGAGGUUGGAAGAACUUGAGAAAGAACUUGCAGCUAAAAGUUAUGGAGAGAAUGAAAAGUGGGAUACUAAUGCUGCCGAAAGUGAUGGUGAAGAAGAUUAGCAGAGUAAAGUUGUUUCUUCACAAAAACGAAGCUGAAGGUUACAGUUCUCUUGAUCAUGGUCCUAGAUAUUAAGGGGUGUAUCAGCCCAGGAAACCACUUCUGCAGUCAAAAGGCAAAGAUCCAAUGAGUGAAGAGAUCUCUAAUAAAUAUCAGUUAGCUGUAAGAGUCUACUGGAUUUACUGUGGGACCUGUUAUCAAAGGUGAAAUGUCUCAUAGUCAAUGUAUGCCUCAAGCCACCGAGAUAAGGAUGUUAUAUCCUUCCAUAAAUGCAUCUGUUCCUUCUGAAAAGGUGAAAUCUGAAGCUGAACAUUCAUCAAGAGACGAGUUUUCAGGGACAGUUGCUCUCACUACAGCUUGAAUACCAGGAAAUGCAAGGUAAUGUGUCUUUUUUUCUCCUUUAUACCUUUCAUAUACUUUUUGCAAUAGCUAAGCUUGCAUUAAGAUUU